UCUGUGGCUUGAGGCUGCUGAACUCAUAUGGGCGUCUCUGAUUGGCUUUUACGCUCUUCCACAACCUGAUAAAAAGGGUAUUGGAACGUCUCUCGGGCUCCUGGCAAACAUACUGACCUCCAUGAAUGACCGAGACUUCGCUGCGCUUCAGAAAAAGCUUCAUAUUGACUUGAGUUUUCUAGGAGAGAGUCGCCAUCGUCUGCUGUCCGCGGCGCGAGCGGCCAAAAUGGCGGUUGUGUUCAGUCAGUAUGG